rnacentral:lncRNA from 1 species
AAAGUACAACUAGUAGAAAUAUCUUGGCCCUUCGAUUAAGGUUUGCGUGGUUAGGAUGGUAGUUCAAGCCCAGAAGAUUCAGUGGGUGACUGGUUGAUAGAAUAACAUAAUUUAAGAGGUAAAAAUAACUAAAAAGUAAAUUUAAUGGUGAAAAAUUUGAUAGCACCAAAUGCUUGAUACUAUUAAAAGCACUCGUGUUGAACUAUAUAUAUUGGAGCUACAUAUUUUUCCGGUUUGUGGUGCAAGUAAUAUUUUUUU